UGCGUAGGCGGUUCGGUUAAGUCUUGUGUGAAACUCUUCGGGCUCAACUCGAAGUCUGCACGAGAAACUGCCGGGCUUGAGUGUGGGAGAGGUGAGUGGAAUUUCCGGUGUAGCGGUGAAAUGCGUAGAUAUCGGAAGGAACACCUGUGGCGAAAGCGGCUCACUGGAUCACAACUGACGCUGAGGGCACGAAAGCUAGGGGAGCAAACCAGGAUUAGAUACCCUGGUAGUCCUAGCCCUAAACGAUGAUCGCUUGGUGUGACGGGUACCCAAUCCCGCCGUGCCGAAGCUAACGCGUUAAGCCGAUCCGGCCUGGGGAGUACGGUCGCAAGGCUGAA
rnacentral:rRNA from 1 species